UACAGAGGUCUCAAGCGUUGUCCGGAUUCAUUGGGCGUAAAGGGUGUGUAGGUGGCGCCGUAAGUCGGGUGUGAAAUCUCGGGGCUUAACUCCGAAACUGCAUUCGAUACUGCCGUGCUUGAGGACUGGAGAGGGGACUGGAAUUUACGGUGUAGCGGUGAAAUGCGUAGAUAUCGUAAGGAAGACCAGUGGCGAAGGCGGGUCUCUGGACAGUUCCUGACGCUGAGGAGCGAAAGCGUGGGGAGCGAACAGG
rnacentral:rRNA from 1 species